UAGGGAAUCUUCGGCAAUGGGGGCAACCCUGACCGAGCAACGCCGCGUGAGUGAAGAAGGUUUUCGGAUCGCAAAGCUCUGUUGUAAGUCAAGAACGAGUGUGAGAGUGGAAAGUUCACACUGUGACGGUAGCUUACCAGAAAGGGACGGCUAACUACGUGCCAGCAGCCGCGGUAAUACGUAGGUCCCGAGCGUUGUCCGGAUUUAUUGGGCGUAAAGCGAGCGCAGGCGGUUUGAUAAGUCUGAAGUUAAAGGCUGUGGCUCAACCAUAGUUCGCUUUGGAAACUGUCAAACUUGAGUGCAGAAGGGGAGAGUGGAAUUCCAUGUGUAGCGGUGAAAUGCGUAGAUAUAUGGAGGAACACCGGUGGCGAAAGCGGCUCUCUGGUCUGUAACUGACGCUGAGGCUCGAAAGCGUGGGGAGCGAACAGGAUUAGAUACCCUGGUAGUCCACGCCGUAAACGAUGAGUGCUAGGUGUUGGAUCCUUUCCGGGAUUCAGUGCCGCAGCUAACGCAUUAAGCACUCCGCCUGGGGAGUACGACCGCAAGGUUG
rnacentral:rRNA from 1 species